UGGCAUUGAUUGAUUACCCUCUCUUUCUUUGACGUUUCCUCAAGAUUCACUCUUUUAAAGGCCCAGAUUUGAUUCCUGUAAAGACAUGUGGGCUUGGGAGAGAAAGAAUCAUCACCAAUCUACGGUGCCUAACUAGUACUAUUAUUCUUCACAUCGGGUAUCAAGUUAUCAAAUGGGUGCAACUUACAUUCCAAUUUGUGAGAGUCUUAAUCAAGUUUCAAUGAUAGUGGCCCCUCACCAAUCUCCAAUCCCAUCAAUCACCAUAAAACAGAUAGGGUUACUUUUUCUGAGUUAGGAUUGCUUACCUUAUUUGUUUAUUGUAAUUUUGGAGGUAAGAAAAAAAGUAGUUCCACAUUGCAACUGAUUGGUAAUCAACGACUUUUUUUUUAAAAACAUUUUGAGUUUCUUUUAUUUUUGCAAAAGUGCUGACUUUGAAGAUUAUAUAUUUUCAUUUUAGAGUGUCCUGAAGACUUUAACAUUUUAUAAGUAAGUUUACUAAGGUUUUGGGGGUUUAGCUGUAACAACAUUAGAAGAAUAUAUCUUAUCCUAUUCACAUGAACAUUUGUUUGGGAACUUUGCCUUGUUUGAUCUGAAGUGCUUUCACGAUACCAUUUCCUUUUUUUUAAGGUGUCUGGCACAUUGUCACGUAAGGAAUAAUGCCAGAUUUCCAUGAAAGAUAAUUGGAGAACCAGACUUCAUGUAAACCAAAUGACAGUGCUGUGUAAAUACAACAGUAGUACUACUAGCUAGUCUAAGAGGGGAGAAAUAUUGUUGUGUAUUAUCCGUUUAAUGUUUAGUCAGCUGAGAUGAUGUUUGCUUUCUUUUGAUAGUGAUUCUUUUAUUUUGUGGAAGAGAUGCUAUUGAGAAUUUGUGAUGUUGUCACUUUAUGAUGAGAAUAGGAGCCUGACUAUCAUGCCUCUCUACUUUUUCUGGCUAUUGUACUGUGCUGCAAUAAUUCUGGGUUGCUUUUAAGUCUGACUGGAUAUGCAUGAAAAAUGAGUAUUGAUCUGAAGGCUCUUUCCUGGAUCUUGAGGACUGUAGGAUAAAAUUUUAGAAAAAUGAUCAUGCGUCUUGAUGAUAACAGCUCCUAGCUUCCUGUCAGUACCUACAGAUUAUGAGUAAUUCUUGCUUACUCCAGAUACAUUACCCUUUUUCAAAACAUAAAUUUUACUUUAAAGUUAUGAUGGCAAAGAUUCAAUUUCUAUAACACUGAUCAUAUUUUCACUUGCUCAUGGUAUGGCUUGUAGAGUUUGUAAAUUUCAUGCAGGUUAAAGUGGGCAAGUCUUGGAAGGUAUUUGCUUUCUCAGUACAUAGAUGAAAAGUUGACUUCAUAUUUUUAGCAAUCUUUAAACAAAACCAAUAGGCUUUGCUAUAAAUUAAUGAUAUGAUGGACCAGAUUGUUAUUAGUGUCAUAGAAAAUUCCUGAUCCCCCUUUUGUGUAUGUUACAUUUUAUCUGAUAUGUAGGUGUCAAAAAUAUAUUUAGUGCUAUGUGAGGACAUGAUGAAGAUCGUUUGGAUCACCUUUCCAUUCAUGGGGAGGAAGUACUAGCUGCACUCAGGGUGACUGUUAAAGCCUUAUAGGUUUCCACCAGAAUACAACAAUGGCCAUGAAAAAAACUGGAAUAUUGUUACUCUGAGUUAUAGAACUGCUCUCUUAAAAGGAUGUGACUCCUUUGAAGAAGUGUGGAGUGCACUUACUGGAUAAAAUACAGUAAUAGCCAUUGAUUUAAAAAUCAACAGUUGAGAUUAUAAUAAAAUAUAUGCACAAAAUAUAAAAUAAACUAUGAAGUUGUUAAA